rnacentral:rRNA from 1 species
AGUAUUAGUUAAUUUCUUUAAACCCAAAGAAUUUGGCGGUGUUUUAAGGCUAUUUAGAGGAACUUGUCCUGUGAUCGAUAAUCCUCGUUUUAUCUUUCUUUAAUUUGUUUUCAGUAUGUAUACCGCCGUUAUCAGUUUAUGUUAUUAGGUUUGUUAAUUUACUCAAUAUUUUAUAUUGUUUUAUUUCAGGUCAAGGUGCAGCUAAUAUUAAAGUUGAGAUGAGUUACAAUAUUUUUUGAAUUUUGGAUUUGAUUAUUGAAAUUUUUCAAUGAAAUUGGAUUUAAUAGUAAUUUUAUUUAUAGAGGUAAUUUGAUUUAUGGCUCUGAGAUGAGUACACAUCGCCCGAUCGCUCUA